GCAGCAGCCGCGGGAAAACGGAGGGUGCAAGCGUUAAUCGGAAUUACUGGGCGUAAAGCGCACGCAGGCGGUCUGUCAAGUCAGAUGUGAAAUCCCCGGGCUUAACCUGGGAACUGCAUUUGAAACUGGCAGGCUAGAGUCUUGUAGAGGGGGGUAGAAUUCCAGGUGUAGCGGUGAAAUGCGUAGAGAUCUGGAGGAAUACCGGUGGCGAAGGCGGCCCCCUGGACAAAGACUGACGCUCAGGUGCGAAAGCGUGGGGAGCAAACAGGAUUAGAUACCCCGGUAGUCCCUGUCUCUUAUAC
rnacentral:rRNA from 1 species